ACUACUGACAGGAGAGGGGUUUGCAUUGAAUGCCUGAGCCUCAGGAAAGGCUUGGCUAUUACCAAGCUGAAGUGAGGGUACGUAUAAAAAUACUAGGGCAGAGGAUUUUAUCCAGGCUAAUUUGUACAUAUCAGUUACCCUGUCCUUACAUAUCCUCAUCCUCACCUUCAGGAGUGCCGUCCAAGGGUCAUCUAGGAUGGAUAUCUCCAAAAUGUCAUGCGGGUGACUGAGUUCAGGAGGAAGAGCUGCCCUAUACGCUGCACGGCAUGGCUGGUCCUCAUCCAUUUCUGCCACAGCAAAACUCAGGCUCAGGCUCUGAGCAACGGGAGCUGUCUGUUGCACGAGAGCAGCUCUGUUCUGCUUGCAGAGGUUUGUCAUGGAGUUUCUAUUGCUGGAGGCUUCUGGGAAUAGGAUCAUCUCUACAGACACCUUUCCUGAAUGCCACAGAGCUUUCCUUGGGUCAGGGAGGUGGAAGAGGAUGAAGACACAGAGCAUCAAAGCUGAAUCCUCCACUGGUCCAGAAGAGAUCCAGCAAACUCCUGGAAGAAAAGCAAGUUAAGACUAUAAGCAGGCGUUGCUGUUGCCCACAUGGGAAAGCAAACCACAGAGACAUCAUGACAUCCAGAAGAACACGGACCUGAAUGAUUUGGCCAGGUCACAUCUGGAUCUAAGUUCUCCCAAGUUCCCUGUGAAUGUGACAAUAUUUCUUUGGUAAUGUUCUUCAUAUCGUCUUGUUAAUAUUUAGUUUCUUAAGAGAUCAAAGGGAUUGGAAGGGAUUCCCAGUCCCUGAGCCCAGUCCCUGGCUUUUGGAAAGCUGCCGUUACUCUUCUGGUUAGGAACUUUUUGGUUGCUAAACUACUCAUAUUCAUGACCAACUUGUUCACAAUUGCUUUUAUGUUUUUUUUCUGUUUAAAAUUUCCAGCAUUAAAGGAUAUGUUUGAGAAAGAAAAGCUGAAGUUAUAAUUUGCCAUGUCUCUGAAGGGUUUAAUAACAGCAGAGUUGAGACUCCUGGAUGUGCUUAUUAAAGAGCUAAAUCUUAGAUCGUGAGAAGCUAUGGCAUGUUUAUUGAAUGCAACAGCCAAUUAAUAAGUAAUUAAUAGUUCAGCAAAGUUUAGUGUAUUGAGGUAGGUUUUGAGGAACAGGGAAUCAUUUCCUGGCAUCAGGAAAUGCAGGAAUAUGAUGAAAAUCACAAAAUGUCACUCAGGGUUGGACCUUACAACGGGUACUAAGGGCAAAGGGGUAAAGCUUCUUCUGCCGUUCAAAUAAAAAGAGAGCAGUAAAGAUCUGUAGCUGCGAUAAUGGAGAGGUGGAGAUGAGAUUAAGGGCAGGUUCAGGCAGCAUGCAAAAUGAAGCAAGUACUUGGUGUUCAAAUGAUGUAGUAAUUGCUCACCAUGGGUUGGCCAAAGGGAACAAAGUCAUGGGUGUGAGAAGAGGUCACAAUUAAAGUGAGAGCCAAUCUCAGAAUAACUGAGAUAAUGAACUCUGGGGAAGGGGACUCAAUAACCUCCAUCCAGAAUUCGGCAUGACUUAGCAUGCCAAAGCACACUUCUUGUAGCAAAUGCAUUCAGUAGAUUUAGCAGGUUUGGGGUGACUGGGUAUGACUGCAGAGUAACAAGUGUAGUACCUAUAUCUGAAACAGAAAAAAAAGUGCCUCUGGCUUGCUAUUGUGACCCGAGUGUUAAUAAAAGCUGUACGAUAAAGGUUGAAUGAAAAAUAUCAAAAACAGUUAAGUGAAUGGCAAAUGAAAUUGCAUAUAUCGUGGUCUACCACCGGUAAAUUGUGCCAGAAUAAUUUGAUGUAGUUCUGUGAUAAGAAAACUGCUUCCCUACGUGAAAGAAUUAAGGAUACCUCCCCAGAGAUAUUACUACGAGUGGAAGUGAACUGUCUUCUGCAGCAGCAAGAUGUGGCACAUCCACCUUUCUAAUUCAAAGCCGAGAGCUCCUAUUUCAAUGUUCACUGCUCCAAAUAAAGGCAGACUGAGGCCCCGUUUGGAGCUUUGUAGAUUAAAUGCCUUCAGGUUCAGAAAAGACACAUUGGUUCAUUGCCUUCAUUACAGCAAGAGUGUUUGUUUGGCUCUCCCAGAAAAAUAGGUAAAUAAUUAAACCGGAUCGUUCUAUUCAGAUAAUUGCUUGAUACACAAAAGGCUCUUGACUUCCUAAAUCGUACAAAUCCUUACCGGCAGUGGGCAUCUCCCUUUGGGCUCUGCUGUGAUGUUGAGAACAUUUGCCAAGAACAUAGUGGAAAAAAAAGACUAUUUAUGCUGGCUUUAGCCAUGUUGAUUUAUUAUUUGUAGCCCUUAUUAUUUGGCUAGUAUAAAACAAACUGCUGUACACAUCCAGCUCACCAUUUCCCAGGACAGCAGGGAAUCAGGACACCUUGGAUAACAAAGUGCAAGGAUGACACCAGCACACUGAGGACUUGGUGCAGAGCUACUCAGACACAUGGGACCCACAUUGCAGAGCCAAAUCAGUGUAUUUGCAUGGUCCCUACAACCUGUGUCUCCUAGGGCACUAAUUUCCCUAACCACAGUAUCUGUAUGUUUGAAAUGCACCACAUCUGCACCAGUAAUCGCUCCCAGAGACAAGGGGACAUGCUUCAGAAAUCCCAGUCGCUGCUUCCUCCUCUUGGUCCUGGGGAAACUCCUGUCUCCUUCCUGGGCUCCCCCAGCUCUGUCUGCACUGCAAUGUUGGACUAGACGCAGCAGCGCUGUGCAGAGAAACACAAACUCUCCUGAAUGAAGACGGGUAAUGCCCACGGUGCAGGAAAACAGGGCGAUUUGGAAGAGAGCUGUGCCUGGAAGCACUGUGGCCAACCUAAUGUUAGCAGCGUAGGCAAUAUAUAACAUGGAUAAUCUGCCUAUGGAUAAGAGAGUUGGUGUAUAUAUAAAGUAAGUUUUAAAAACACAGCCAAAACAAAAUGUUUAGGUAGUGUCAAAAUGAAAUAUUUAGGGGAUUUUUCUAACAUGCUUUGUAACUCAACUUAGGCCAAAAUAUAAUUUUGGUAUCUUGAAAUUUCCUGAAGGAUAGCAAUUUCAGUUUUAUACCAGCUUUUAGUACAGAUUUCACCCUGUGUUUUGUAUCUCAACUUGGGGUUGAUUUAAAGCAGACCUUUAGAAAGGAGACACGCAAUUUAAGUUUAAAGACUCCCAUUGAUCCACCACAUGCUUCACUGAGUUACUGUUGUAAAUGUAUACCUUAUCUCUAAUCAUUCCGUCCUGUUCUGCAUUAAAGGGCAAUCCAUGUUCAGACAGACAAAGAAGGUCUGUGUAUGUCAAAGGAAAUGAUUUUUCUAUGAAAUAACGUGAUUUGGGAAAGCAACUUUUGCUUCAAAUGAUUUUUAGUACACUUUUAACUUCAAAAAUUCCUUUUGGUUGAAUCAUCAUUGAUAGUGCCAUUAAUCCUGAUUAUUGUUAGUUAUCGAAUGUUAUUUCUAAUGAAAAUUUUCAUUGCAUUUGAAGCUGUAGUUUGCUCCUUCCUAGCACCAAAAUAAUCACACAAGGGCUUAGAGUUCAGAGCAAUGAUCUGUCAAACUAUAUAGCUCUUGGAUAUCAUUAACAAGUUAUUUGAUAAUUACUUCCUAAUAUGUUUCGAAUCCUUUGUUAAAAUCAUUCAUUUAAAGUUCAUAAAACU